AACACCGGCGGCCCGAGUGGUGAUCGUGAUUAUUGGGUCUAAAGGGUCCGUAGCCGGUUUGGUCAGUCCUCCGGGAAAUCUGAUAGCUCAACUAUUAGGCUUUCGGGGGAUACUGCCAGACUUGGAACCGGGAGAGGUAAGAGGUACUACAGGGGUAGGAGUGAAAUCUUGUAAUCCCUGUGGGACCACCUGUGGCGAAGGCGUCUUACCAGAACGGGUUCGACGGUGAGGGACGAAAGCUGGGGGCACGAACCGGAUUAGAUACCCGGGUAGUCCCAGCCGUAAACGAUGCUCGCUAGGUGUCAGGCAUGGCGCGACCGUGUCUGGUGCCGCAGGGAAGCCGUGAAGCGAGCCACCUGGGAAGUACGGCCGCAAGGCUGAAACUUAAAGGAAUUGGCGGGGAGCACAACAACGGGUGGAAGCCUGCGGUUUAAUUGGACUCAACGCCGGACAACUCACCGGGGGCGACAGCAAUAUGUAGGCCAAGCUGAAGACUUUGCCUGAAUCGCUGAGGGGAGGUGCAUGG
rnacentral:rRNA from 1 species